AGCAAAGUCGUACAUGCAAUCAGAUGUCUAUUCUUUCAGAACUGCAACCGGUUCCUGUAAGUAUUGAUCGUCGUGGUGCCUCUGAGUUGAGAUUCAGUUGCAGUGUAAGUCUCUCCCAUUCUGCGAGGCAUUUAUAGGUGCCCUACACUAUCACUGUCCAAUUGAACACGUCUUUUUUGGUGUGAGCACGCGCCCUAUUGUGUUUUGCACGUCACACCAUUUUUAUGGGGUGUAAUUGAAUAAUGCGUUACAGUCAUGCAAACGGCGCAAACUGAUUCGUGAUGUGCUAGUCUGAAUGUAAAGACACAAAACUGAGCGUCAGAAUUAUGAGCAUAUGACUUCACGUGCUCACACAUAAGCUAGACCCCCAUAAGCUGUAUUAGACACGUCAGAUUCCUUGAAAGUUUUAAAUAAUAGCCUAAUUAUAAUGACAAUAAUAAUUGGAUUUAAUAUUGUUGUUGUGAGUGCUGUUUUGGUUGUUAUAAAUAUAAUAUAAAUGUUAAUGGCAAAGAAUUCUAUUGCCUUGUGGCAAAACCUGAUACAAGUUAUGAAAUAAUUUAUUAAGGAAAGUUUUUAAAGUUGUGUUUUUUUUCUUAUUUAUUGAAAUCAUAUGACUGAAAAUGUUAACAUAGGGUCAUUCCUCAUAGCAGCAUAUCCAAGACUGAUUCCUGUGACAAAGCUCAUUUUCCCAAAAAGGUUCUGGUACAGCUGGCCUUUGAGAGGUGAAAUGGAAAGCUGGCUCAUUGACCUGAAUUAUUAUUUGCUCCUUGGAAAAACAUCACAAUGGAAUUCAAGAGAUGAGCUAUCAGUUUCAGGACUUUUGGAUGCUGCUUUGUGUGAGUGUUUGGAUUGGGUUGGGUUUUGGAUAGUUCAGUAUUAAAAAAUAUUCACUGAUAAUGUGUAGUCAUGUUUGAGGUUUUUACAUUAUUUAAGGUUUAUACACCAAGCAUAAUGUAAAAUUAUGUUAUUCAGGAAAUUUUACAGUUUAAGUGAUAUGUGUAACACAUACGCCAGUCAUAGGUCAGACCAUUUCUAAAAAAAAAAAAAAAAAUUAAUUAGAUGUGAAGCACCAUUUGGGAGCCAAAAUUUAUAGCUGAGCUAAACCGAAGGACCUGGCUCAAUAAAAAGCCAAAAUUCCCAUCA
ensembl:lncRNA